rnacentral:tRNA from 1 species
GCAUUGGUGGUUCAGUGUUAGAAUUCUCAUCUUCCAUUCGGGAGACCUGGGUUCAAUUUCCAACCAGCGUA